UACAGAGGGUGCAAGCGUUAAUCGGAAUUACUGGGCGUAAAGCGUGCGUAGACGGUUACAUAAGUCGGGUGUGAAAGCCCCGGGCUCAACCUGGGAAUUGCAUUCGAGACUGCGUAGCUAGGGUGCGGAAGAGGGAAGCGGAAUUUCCGGUGUAGCGGUGAAAUGCGCAGAUAUCAGGAGGAACACCGAUGGCGAAGGCAGGUCUCUGGGCCACUACUGACGCUGAGAAGCGAAAGCAUGGGGAGCGAACAGG
rnacentral:rRNA from 1 species